GACGAGGGAUCCUAGCGUUGUUCGGAAUCAUUGGGCGUAAAGCGGGUGUAGGUGGACUUAUAAGUCAGGUGUGAAAUCCCAGGGCUCAACCCUGGAAGUGCACUUGAUACUGCAAGUCUUGAGUGUGGUAGAGGCUAUUAGAAUUCUUGGUGUAGUGGUGAAAUACGUAGAUAUCAAGAGGAAUAUCGGAGGCGAAGGCGGAUAGCUGGGCCAACACUGACACUGAGACCCGAAAGCGUGGGGAUCAAACAGG
rnacentral:rRNA from 1 species